rnacentral:rRNA from 1 species
CAGCCGCCACGGGAAUACAGAGGGUGCAAGCGUUAAUCGGAAUUACUGGGCGUAAAGCGCGCGUAGGUGGUUUGUUAAGUUGGAUGUGAAAGCCCCGGGCUCAACCUGGGAACUGCAUCCAAAACUGGCAAGCUAGAGUACGGUAGAGGGUGGUGGAAUUUCCUGUGUAGCGGUGAAAUGCGUAGAGAUCUGGAGGAAUACCGGUGGCGAAGGCGGCCCCCUGGACAAAGACUGACGCUCAGGUGCGAAAGCGUGGGGAGCAAACAGGAUUAGAUACCCCAGUAGUCCCUGUCUCUUAUAC